AUGUUAAGCAAUCUAGCUAACUUUAUUAUUAGCAACCUUGAUAAGCUAGCUAACUUUAUUAUUAGCAACCUUGAUAAGCUAGCUAAAAUCCUAUUGGUUGAAGAAUUUUUCCGACUUCAAAAGCACUUAAACACAAUCAUGUCGGACUUAAUUGUUCCACUUCCCCAUUUCCCAUGAGCAUGUGAAGCCAGCAUAAAUACACUCGGAGAUUAGCCUAGCUAAUCCAUAUUCCUCUUACUCUAAACACAGUCAAGUCUAUUGUCCAUUAUCUUGUUUAAGUGCUGGGUAAUUUCCCUACAAAAACUGAGCAUUUAAUUAUUUAAAAAAAAUUCAUUUGGACAAGUCCUUUGUAUCCUUAGUACACCAAAGAAGAAGAGACAUUCACGCUGGGUUUUCUGGGAUAGGAUUUAGUCCUCCAGUUUUCUUCUACUGUGCAAAUACAGUGUUACACAGACGUACAGCCAGACAGGCAUGCGGACAGACAAACCAUGCAGAGAAUUAGAUGGCGUUAAAGAAAUGUUUUGUAAAGGAACAUACCAAACCCUGGGGCUCUGAAACUAUUCAUAGGAAUGGUGAAUCUGAGAGCAAACACAAAGCAAAGCAACAAUAAAUACAAUGUUUACUAAAUCAUGAAAAGGAAACAUGAUACUGCCAAAAUUAGUGUAAGAACAUUAUUGAAAACUAAAAGGAGUUAUUUACUAGGGAUGAGAAUAGUUUGAACUACAAUGAGACCAUGCCAACCCACUAAUAUCAUGACUCCGGUUUCUUGACAACCCGACUAAUGUAGCUACGACAGGAAGAAGUGAUGUCACAACAUUUUCUGAAGUUGAGGUAUGCUAAUGUACAGUAACCAUGGCAACACAGCAGUAACCAUGGCAGGACAGCAGUAACCAUGCUAUCAAAUCAACAACAGUGUGUUAUGGUGUCAAAAGUAACCUCGGUAUGUCAUUUUGGUUGGUCCCAAUGAAGUCAAACGCGAAAGCGAAGUGUCUUUAAAAUGCCCCAUGCUAGUCUAGUCUAGUCUAGUCUAGUCUAGUCUAGCUACAGUGCAGCCAGGAACAAUACAGUACAAAAACAAACCAGUGUGCUCCCCUUUUUGUGUUCAGAGUGAUGUGUGGAACAGAGACCAAAUCCACUGCUGCUGAGUGCAGGGCUGCUCCAACCAGGGACAGUUUAAAACAGUCAACCUCAACCCCCCACAUAAGGUUUUUAGCGCUAUUUACUGGAGUGAGACCAUCUUUGCCAUAGCUAUUCUCUUUCACAACGUCAUAGCUCUCAUGUAGGCUACGGAUAUAAUAUAUUUCUAGGCUUUCCAUGUAGAACCUCUCUGUAAACAGGAUCAUUCUGUAAGUAAAUAGACCAUUUCUGGAAUCAUGGUAUAAAGUAGAAAGGCUGAUCAUCCCAAUGCAUGAUGAGGACACUAAGAGCAAGUGGCACAUCAACUGUACAGAGUAACAACGCAAAAUGACAAAUAUGCAAAUAUAAAAAGUAUGUUCAAAACUAGAGAUUUUCAUACAUGCCAAAAAUAGAAUUGUCACCCACUUGAGAUGGUUGAUUAAGAAAAAGUUGAUGAUGGUAUAGUCAAUUGACUAGCUCGAUGUGGAAAUGAUAGUUUCAAAGAUGGCAAAUUAACACACUUUACAAUAUGUUCAAUUCAAUAUACAUGACAAGAUGUUUAUAGUAACUAUUAACUAAGGUAGUUGCCAAACAAUACAUUGGAAUUCAAUAAUUAUUUAACCAAAAGGUUGAGACAUACAUGUUUGAUCCGUUAGCUCUCGAACAGUGUGCUUGGUAUGAAAAGCCAGUAGUAAUACUGUGUAUGCCUGCUGUUACUAGUGGUACGAAAGAGCUGGAUGCAAACUCAUGCUUUGGCUUUUUUUUUGCUCGACUAGUUCUUUUUGGAUAACUUUCUAACCUUGCAACCGACAGGUCUUUCUGGUGANNNNNNNNNNACAAUGAUACAUUCAAAAAGUUAUUGAAAGAGUACUUUUUUUGCAGUGACUGGUGGUGUUACACAAUAUGAGUGAUCGACAAUGAGUCAUUUGAAUAAUAUGCCUUGUUAGACAUUGAUCUGCAUGAGUUAUUCUAGCCUGCUGUCCUGCCUACACCUGUACAUGUGUCCAACUUUGACUGAUCCUACAACAUUCAAUGUUCAGCCUUAAAGCCCACUCAUUUUAAGAGAAGAAGGAGAAGUGUCUU
rnacentral:lncRNA from 13 species